GAGUAUACUGGAGGGAGGAGUAUCUGGGUGGUCCCGGGGACUCAGUUUAACCUUAAUACUCACAACACCGUUAGGAGUGUCAACCCUCCUUGCUGUUAUAUAUAGAGCAGCCUCAGCGGCAAAACGAGGUCAGGAGAAGAUAUCUGUGAGUGUGUGGAGAGAACUGAUCCUGGCUGUGUUGAACUGGAUUAAGGAGGAGAAGGAGGAGAAACUAGGAGAACCUCUAGUUCCUCCUCAACCCCUAGAUAUAGGAUUCCUUCUCACGCUUACUCAUAAUCAGCAUCAGGCCUGGGAGGCAUUCUUGUUGAAAGUUGGUGUUGAGGCGGUUUAGAACACAAGAAGAAUGAGGAAGAAUAUUAAAAGGGCUGAAAGGGAUGAAAAAAGGAUUGAGACGAAUUAAAUCCAUAGAUUAAUGUUAAUACAGAUAGAACACUAAAUUGUUCUAUCUUCAUAUUGUUAUUAAUAUGUGAUUGAAUCAAUAUUCAGGAUAUUAACAAACCAGAAUUUAAUUCUCAUUUUACAUUUACUAUUUUUUCUAUAUUUAUUGGCUUCUGGGAGUUCUGUAUGAUCCUAAAGAUUUCGGAUAUGUGUUACUUUUCGGAAUUGUUAAAAAAGUACAGGAAUCUUGAAUGCUUCCCUAAAUAUUGUAUUCGGAAUACAUCCGGAAAAAUUGUAUGUAUGCGGAACUAUUCCGGAAAUAUUUGAUGUGUAGGGAAUUAUUGAAUUCCAGACCCCUAUUUGAUGCUUUAUUUUUAAACCCAGCUCCGGUAUUGUGCCUCAUUUCCUGUCAUAUAAAAACUUGCAUAACAAUUAGUGAAGGAUAGAAAUUGUAAAAAAAAAUGAAAAAUAUGGAGGAAAUUUGAUCACCAACGUAAUGCAAAUCUGACAUUCUUUUAUACCGUUACACCUACAUACAGUCGUUUUUAUCCAGUGUUUUAAUGCCAGUGUCUAAAUGUUGUAAUUUUUGGGGCGGUGAACACUGAAGCUAGGAACUCGAUAUCUUUGUUUACUUAAAUUGUACUGCAGUUGCUGGAAGGAACAUAAUAUUAUUUAAAUUUUUUCUCUAAAGGUUACUUUCAAAGGAUGUGAUUUUAAAAACGUUUUAUUAUUUCAAAUAUGGUUCCCAGCAGGGACAUAAGAUAAUUUAUUUCUAUUCUAAA
rnacentral:lncRNA from 1 species